rnacentral:rRNA from 1 species
UACGUAGGGGGCAAGCGUUGUCCGGAAUUAUUGGGCGUAAAGAGCGUGUAGGCGGUCCGGUAAGUCAGCUGUGAAAGUCCAGGGCUCAACCCUGGGAUGCGGGUGGAUACUGUCGGGCUCGAGUCCGGAAGAGGCGAGUGGAAUUCCCGGUGUAGCGGUGAAAUGCGCAGAUAUCGGGAGGAACACCAAUGGCGAAGGCAGCUCGCUGGGACGUGACUGACGCUGAGACGCGAAAGCGUGGGGAGCAAACAGG